rnacentral:rRNA from 1 species
UAAGCGGAGGAAAAGAAACUAACAAGGAUUCCCCUAGUAACGGCGAGUGAAGCGGGAAGAGCUCAAAUUUGAAAUCUAACGGACUCAGUCUGUUCGAGUUGUAAUCUAUAGGAACGUUUUCCGUGCCGGCUCAUGUACAAGUCCCUUGGAACAGGGCGUCAUAGAGGGUGAGAAUCCCGUACUUGACAUGAACUACCGGUGCUCUGUGAUACGUCUCCAACGAGUCGAGUUGUUUGGGAAUGCAGCUCAAAAUGGGUGGUAAAUUCCAUCUAAAGCUAAAUAUUGGUGUGAGACCGAUAGCGAACAAGUACCGUGAGGGAAAGAUGAAAAGCACUUUGGAAAGAGAGUUAAACAGUAUGUGAAAUUGUUGAAAGGGAAACGAUUGAAGUCAGUCAUGUCCUUCAGAUUCAGCUGGUUCUGCCGGUGUAUUUCUGUUGGAUGGGGUCAACAUCAGUUUUGGAUGCCGGAUAAAGGCUGGAGGAAGGUAGCACCCUCGGGUGAACUUAUAGCCUCCUGUCGCAUACGGUGACCGGGACUGAGGAACGCAGCUUGCCUUUAUGGCCGGGGUUCGCCCACGUACAAGCUUAGGAUGUUGACAUAAUGGCUUUAAACGACCCGUCUUGAAACACG